rnacentral:rRNA from 1 species
GAUGAACGCUGGCGGCGUGCUUAACACAUGCAAGUCGAACGGGAAACCUUUUAUUGAAGCUUCGGCAGAUUUAGCUGGUUUCUAGUGGCGGACGGGUGAGUAACGCGUGGGUAACCUGCCUUAUACAGGGGGAUAACAACCAGAAAUGGUUGCUAAUACCGCAUAAGCGCACAGGACCGCAUGGUCCGGUGUGAAAAACUCCGGUGGUAUAAGAUGGACCCGCGUUGGAUUAGCUAGUUGGCAGGGUAACGGCCUACCAAGGCGACGAUCCAUAGCCGGCCUGAGAGGGUGAACGGCCACAUUGGGACUGAGACACGGCCCAGACUCCUACGGGAGGCAGCAGUGGGGAAUAUUGCACAAUGGGGGAAACCCUGAUGCAGCGACGCCGCGUGAAGGAAGAAGUAUCUCGGUAUGUAAACUUCUAUCAGCAGGGAAGAUAGUGACGGUACCUGACAAAGAAGCCCCGGCUAACUACGUG